rnacentral:misc_RNA from 1 species
CUCGUUUUCGUCACCCACUUUCCCCUUUUCCUCUGCUUCUCAAUCGGAUCUAAUCCGACCCACGAAUCCAAUUCCACCAAAAUGGGUAGCGGAGAAAAGGUUUUCACCUUGAAGGAAGUCGCUGAGCACAACAAUCACAAGGACUGUUGGCUCAUCAUCAGUGGCAAGGUAUAUGAUGUGACCAAGUUCUUAGAGGACCAUCCUGGUGGUGACGAUGUUUUGUUAUCAGCUACAGGAAAAGAUGCAACCGACGACUUUGAAGACGUGGGCCACAGUGACAAUGCAAGAGAGAUGAUGGAUCAAUACUAUGUUGGGGAGAUUGAUGCUUCAACAAUUCCAAAGAAGGUUGCCUACACACCUCCAAAGCAGCCUCAUUACAAUCAGGACAAGACAUCCGAGUUCAUCAUCAAGCUUCUCCAAUUCCUCGUCCCGCUUGCAAUUUUGGGAUUGGCAGUUGCCAUACGCUUCUACACCAAACAAGCUUGAGCUCUUGACGUAACCUUAGAGACUUUUAAGUUUGUUAGAUUGUUAGUCGUCGAUUUUUAUGCUGUUGCUAAUGAUCGGUUUGUUCAGCAAUGUCAUUUCUUGGUUAUAUAAUGCAGAGAUAGACUGUUUUUCAUUCCCACUUCCUCUAGAUUUGGCAUAUUUAUUGUACUGCUAUACUUUUUAAUUUUCAAAAUAAAGAUGGUGGAG